rnacentral:rRNA from 1 species
CCUACGGGAGGCAGCAGUAGGGAAUAUUGGGCAAUGGAGGCAACUCUGACCCAGCCAUGCCGCGUGCAGGAAGAAGGCGUUAUGCGUUGUAAACUGCUUUUAUAUAGGAAGAAAUAGACCUUGCGAGGUAAGUUGACGGUACUAUAUGAAUAAGCACCGGCUAACUCCGUGCCAGCAGCCGCGGUAAUACGGAGGGUGCAAGCGUUGUCCGGAUUUAUUGGGUUUAAAGGGUGCGUAGGCGGUUUAUUAAGUCAGUGGUGAAAGACGGUCGCUCAACGAUUGCAGUGCCAUUGAUACUGGUAGACUUGAGUGGGAUUGAGGUAGCUGGAAUGGAUAGUGUAGCGGUGAAAUGCAUAGAUAUUAUCCAGAACACCAAUUGCGUAGGCAAGUUACUAAGUCUCAACUGACGCUGAGGCACGAAAGUGUGGGUAUCAAACAGGAUUAGAUACCCUGGUAGUCCACACUGUAAACGAUGAUAACUAACUGUUGGCUUUCGGGUCAGUGGUACAGAGAAAUCGUUAAGUUAUCCACCUGGGGAGUACGCCGGCAACGGUGAAACUUAAAGGAAUUGACGG